rnacentral:rRNA from 1 species
UGAGUAACCUGCCCUUAACUCUGGGAUAAGCCUGGGAAACUGGGUCUAAUACCGGAUAUGACUCCUCAUCGCAUGGUGGGGGGUGGAAAGCUUUUUUGUGGUUUUGGAUGGACUCGCGGCCUAUCAGCUUGUUGGUGAGGUAAUGGCUCACCAAGGCGACGACGGGUAGCCGGCCUGAGAGGGUGACCGGCCACACUGGGACUGAGACACGGCCCAGACUCCGUACGGGAGGCAG